rnacentral:rRNA from 1 species
AAAGACCGAUAGCGAACAAGUACCGUGAGGGAAAGAUGAAAAGCACUUUGGAAAGAGAGUCAAACAGUACGUGAAAUUGUUGAAAGGGAAACGCUUGAAGUCAGUCGCGUCUCUCGGGACUCAGCCACGACCUCUCGAGGUCGCGGCGCAUUUCCCGAGCCUGGACGGGCCAGCAUCGGUUUCGAGCGUCGUAAAAAGGCGUGAGGAAUGUGGCACCCUCGGGUGUGUUAUAGCCUCGCGUCGUAUGCGACGGACGGGACCGAGGAACGCAGCGCGCCCCUUCGCGGGGGCCGGGGUUCGCCCACGUAACGCGCUUAGGAUGCUGGCGUAAUGGCUUUAAGCGACCCGUCUUGAAACACGGACCAAGGAGUCUAACAUGCUCGCGAGUGUUCGGGUGGAAAACCCGUGCGCGUAAUGAAAGUGAAAGGUUGGGACCCCUCCUUCGCGUGGGGGGCACCGACGCCCGGACUUGAGCUUCUGCGACGGUUCCGAGGCAGAGCGCGUAUGUUGGGACCCGAAAGAUGGUGAACUAUGCCUGAGUAGGGCGAAGCCAGAGGAAACUCUGGUGGAGGCUCGUAGCGAUUCUGACGUGCAAAUCGAUCGUCGAACUUGGGUAUAGGGGCGAAAGACUAAUCGAACCAUCUAGUAGCUGGUUCCCGCCGAAGUUUCCCUCAGGAUAGCAGAGACUCGUAUCAGUUUUAUGUGGUAAAGCGAAUGAUUAGGGGCCUUGGGGUCGAAACGACCUUAACCCAUUCUCAAACUUUAAAUAUGUAAGAACGGGCGGUCGCU